UCAAGCGAAGAAGGGCGCAGGGCGAAUGCCUUGGCACUGGGAGCCGAAGAAAGACGUGAUAAGCUGCGAUAAGCUGCGGGGAGCUGCAAAUAAGCGUUGAUCCGCAGAUUUCUGAAUGAGGAAACUCACCUGGGUUCAUACCCGGGUACAAUGCACUGAACUUCAAAAUAGGUGCAUUGGGGGAACCGCCUGAACUGAAACAUCUAAGUAGGGCGAGGAAGAGACAUCAAACGAGAUUCCGUAAGUAGUGGCGAGCGAACGCGGAAGAGGGCAAACCGGAGGUAGAAAUACCUCCGGGGUACGGACUGCAGAAGGGACUUAAGUUGUUAGCCGAACGGCAUGGGAAGGCCGGUCAGAGAGUGUGAGAACCACGUAGGCGAAAACGGCGAGAGCCUGGCAGGAUCCAGAGUACGGCCGGACACGUGAAACCCGGUCGGAAUAUGGGGGGACCACCCUCCAACCCUAAAUACUACCCAGUGACCGAUAGCGUAUAGUACUGUGAAGGAAAGGUGAAAAGGACCCCGGGAGGGGAGUGAAAAAGAACCUGAAACCCUGUGCCUACAAGCACCUAGAGCACGUCAAAGUGUGAUAGGGUACUUUUUGUAGAACGGUCCGGCGAGCGAUUGUACGCAGCAAGGUUAAGGUCUUCAGGACUGGAGCCGAAGCGAAAGCAAGUUUGAAAAGGGCGUUGAGUUGCGUGCAAUGGGCCCGAAACCGGGUGACCUACCCAUGAUCAGGCUGAAGUGGAAGUAAAAUUCCAUGGAGGGCCGAACCGACCUCCGUUGAAAAGGCGGCGGAUGAAUUGUGGGUAGCGGAGAAAUUCCAAUCGAACCCGGAGAUAGCUGGUUCUCCCCGAAAUAGUUUUAGGACUAGCCUCAUUUUAGAUACCCGGAGGUAAAGCACUGAAUAGCCUAGCGGCCGAGAGGUUAGCGAAGCUUAUCAAACUCAGAAUGCCGGAGUAUUGGUGAAUGGGAGUCAGACAGUGUCAGAUAAAUGUCAUUGUCAAAAGGGAAACAGCCCAGAUCUACAGCUAAGGUCCCAAAGUCAGGUCAAGUGGAAAACGAUGUGAAGAUACGCAGACAACCAGGAUGUUGGCUCAGAAGCAGCCACUCAUUUAAAGAGUGCGUAAUAGCUCACUGGUCGAGCGUCUUUGCGCGGAGAAUUUAACGGGGCUAAACCUGACACCGAAGCUUAGGCAGCGUCGCAAGAUGCUGGGUAGGGGAGCGUUGUAUACGCGGAGAAACAGUAGCGCAAGCGGCUGUGGAGUGUAUAGAAGUGAGAAUGCCGGAAUGAGUAGCGCGAAUGCAGUGAGAAUCUGCAUGGCCGAAAGCCUCAGGUUUUUGGAGGAAGGUUCGUCCGCUCCAAGUUAGUCGGGAGCUAAGGUGAGGCCGGAAGGCGUAGCCGAUGCACAGACGGUGGAGAUUCCGUCACCACCAAAAGAGUUAAGCAUGGGGACACAUCUGAAGUGUCGGAGCCGGGAGUUGGUUCCGGUAGAGAUCGAGGGAAAUAAGUACCGAAGUCCGGCAUGGAAGGUGGCGAGAAAAGCCAUGUGUAUUUCUGAGGUGCCCGUACCGCAAACCGACACAGGUAGGUAGGAAGAAGAUUCUAAGGCCAACGGGAGAAGGGUUGUUAAGGAACUCGGCAAAUUGACCCCGUAACUUCGGGAGAAGGGGUGCUGCAGAGAUGCAGCCGCAGGGAAACGGCCCAAGCAACUGUUUACCAAAAACACAGGUUUGUGCUAAAUCGAAAGAUGACGUAUACGAGCUGACGCCUGCCCGGUGCUGGAAGGUUAAGAGGAGAUGUGAGAGCAUUGAAUUGAAGCCCCAGUGAACGGCGGCCGUAACUAUAACGGUCCUAAGGUAGCGAAAUUCCUUGUCAGGUAAG
rnacentral:rRNA from 1 species